GGGUUCCUGGCACCGUGAUUUGGUGGAUAAACAGAAAUGAAAAUCACAUUGCCAGGGAUUUCCA
rnacentral:pre_miRNA from 1 species